GAACAUGCGAUCCCAUCUUCUCUGCUUUGCAUUUCUUCCUCGCGGGCUAGGGCACAUGACUUUCCCCCACUGGCACCUCUUCUUCUUCUCUUCUUCCUCACCAUCGGCUGGCGGCCACUAUUCUCUUCCCUUGCCGCCGGCCGGCCAUCCACAGUCCACCUCUUCAUCUUGAUUCCAGCGGCGAGCAACAACAAGCACUCUAGGUGGGGCAGCGAGCGAUGGCGACGAUCCCGACGAUAUUCACCUCACCAGAGGGGUUCUCCAGUGUGUCCUCCAUCUUCCUUCAUUCUUUAGACCUCUCCUCUCCUUCUGGAGUUAGGACGGACUAAGGACGAAGAGAGUGACGGCAGCCCAUCUCCAUCUCUCCGGUGGCAAUCUGAUUAUCUUCAGUUUAUCAACAAGCUCCUGGGACUUCUCUGCUUCCAGCGGGUUGCAAGGGUAGGGGCAGAGCACCAAUCGACGGAUAUAGGCAGCCAUCUUCAUUUUCAGUCAGCUUCAAGUGGAGGGGUUCUUCAUUGGAGGAUUCAUAUCUCCCUCAUUGUCAAAGUGUGCAGCAACCGACAGUGAGCUACUGUCCACCGGUUUUGGGGGGUCUAGAGCCGGGUCUUUCGAGUGACGACAAAGGGUAGUCCUUGGUUGUGGAGGUUGAGUGUGGAUUGUAGUUUAAUUAACUUAGUUUUAUUCAUGUUAAUGUUUAUUCAUUGUGUCAUUUUGCUUGUGUUGAUGCUUCUUGUUGAAUGCUUGUAGCAAAUUUGAUCUUCCAUGUUUACUUUGUACGUAUGUAGUUCAACUUAAUUCAUGCUUACAAAGUGUUUGAUGAAUUGCUUCAACCAUUAGCUAGGUUCAA